rnacentral:tRNA from 1 species
AAAAAGAUAGUUUAAAAAAAAUUUUCGGUUUCGGCUCGUUUGCUUUUGGUUCAACUCCAAAUCUUUUUA